rnacentral:rRNA from 1 species
GACGAACGCUGGCGGCGUGCUUAACACAUGCAAGUCGAACGGAAAGGCCCCUUCGGGGGUACUCGAGUGGCGAACGGGUGAGUAACACGUGGGUGAUCUACCCUGCACUUCGGGAUAAGCCUGGGAAACUGGGUCUAAUACCGGAUAUGACCACGAGAUGCAUGUCUUGUGGUGGAAAGCUUUUGCGGUGUGGGAUGGGCCCGCGGCCUAUCAGCUUGUUGGUGGGGUGACGGCCUACCAAGGCGACGACGGGUAGCCGGCCUGAGAGGGUGUCCGGCCACACUGGGACUGAGAUACGGCCCAGACUCCUACGGGAGGCAGCAGUGGGGAAUAUUGCACAAUGGGCGCAAGCCAGAUGCAGCGACGCCGCGUGGGGAUGACGGCC